UAUUCUCAUUGUAUGUUCAAACAGAUCAAACUUGACAGUUGAAGCUACUUAACAGCUUUUGUUUGGUUGUGUACUAUAACUCCUUUUUUUUUCUGUUGCCUUUUUAAUAAAAUCUGUGAGGUGCACCAGUUUCACGUUUUUGCUUGCAUUAUCUGUAACUGCUGCAUUAUUGUCUUCUCCUUGCCUAUGCCUUUCUAAACUGUUGAAACCCCCCAGCUGAAUUGUAGUGGAGUUCUAGUAGUAGCUGUCUGUUUUAUACACACAUUUAUCUACUUUAUUUCUGAAAGUCUUAAAAAUUUUGAGAGUUGCUCAUUCUUUUAUAUGGGUCCCACUAGUUAGAAUUACUAAUACCUCUCCCUUUGUACUGUGUUUCUGUGCUGCUUUGAAGCCAUGGUUAAAAUACAUCUUUUGCCAGUUUCUUUUGUGACUCUUGAACAGAUGGAUAUUUCUUCUCUCUCUCUUCUCAUCCCACCCACCCUGUCCCUCAGAUGGGAGGGGCAAACAUCCAGCUUCUCUAACUAGUUGACAGCUGUCUUUAUAUUUUUGGGGUUUUUUCUGUCUUUUUUUCUUCACCAUUUUUCUUUUUUCUCUUCUGCCUUUUCUAGACAUUCUGCUGUCCUCAUAAUUCCUCAGAUAUUCUUUAACUUUGGUAUCUUUUUCUGUCCCCCUUUAAAUCUGCGUUUGCCACAUGGGAGACCCAUACUGGGUGAUAAUGGGAUCCUGGAGGUUGAAUAUCUGAUGAGUUGCUCCCAUCAAGCCAUCUCCUAGAUGAGAGAGACAUUUUCAACACAACUUAUCCACUACUAUUUCAAGGUACCACUUAUGGACAAGAUUUUUUUCACCAUCUGACACUCAAAGAUGAGACAACAUUUGUGGCUCUUAUUGUCAUGGGUGUGAUAAUUCCUGGCAUCUUCAUAUUUAUCUUCAUUCUCGUUUGCCGUCAGAGAAGAAAAGAACUGUUUAUGAGAAGAACUCAAAUGCUGCUGCAGAAUGCCCAAGACUUUUCCAUGGAUGAUUUUCCUGUGCAAGACAAGACAUAUUCUUCUACUAUCAAACUGUAAAAGUAUUCCAAGAUCAUAGAUAGGUUUGCAGUUGCACAAACUUCUUGAAGAAUCAAAUAGCAGAAAUGAUUCUUUGAAGAUUUGUUUUUAACAAAAAGCAUAAUAGCCAAGAGAAUGAAAGCUGAUUGUUUUCUUGCAGUCAUAAAGUGUUUGUAACUAUCAAAGUGCUUUUUACAUAACUUGAAAAAGUUUCUUUUAAAGAUGUGAUUUAUAUGUAAGGUAGUAAUAAUACUGAAUAUUUAGGACACACAUUCUUUCCUCUGUCAAGGAAGUUUCCAGCGUUCACAAAGAGACUACAAAUAACAAGUGAAAGACAAAAUGAAUACUGUACACUAUACACUACUAUCUGAAUUAAAUAAAAUACAUCCUAUAAAUUCCAACCCACUGCCACAGACAUAGGGAAAGCCUACAAAUUGCAGGUUAAUUAAUUUUGUUUCUCACUGAAAUGGGUACUGUUCAAAGUUUUAGUUUAUUUUAUUCCUUGUUACUCCUCGAGGAGCAUAGGGCUGCAGCAACACCUCACCAGCAGACCAUGUUUUGGGCAGCCUCCCUCAGUUGUGCCCAUGUGGUCCUGUCGUCCUUUACCUUGCUCAUUACUGUUCUUUUCCAAGUUUUCUUUGGUCUCCCAACUCUCCUCUUCCCCAGAGGGUCCCAGUCAAGUGCCUGCCUGGUAAUGGUGUCGGCUAGUUUGUGCAGGGUAUGUCCCCAUUGGCACUUUUUUAUGUGUAGGUUAAUGGAAUUCUGGCUGGUUCUUUUCCACAGGAUGCUGUUGGAGAUCUUUUAGGCCAUCUUAUUCCCAGAAUAUAGUGUAGGCAUCGGUUGGUAAAUGUCUGGAGCUUGUUGUUGAUGAUGUUUGUCACUCUCCAGGUUUC